UAUGAUUGUGACGUUUGCACAUGUUAUUUGUUGGGCGAUUUGAUAUGUUAGUAGCAUAUCCACGGUGUAUCCACUCGUGUGCAACCGCAAUUCUAGAUUAGUGCGAUCAUAUGACAGAUAUAAAUAGAUCAGAACAAUAGUGUUAAUAGUUUACCCAAUCCAAUCAUGUAUAAAAAAAUAAUAUAUGAAAAACAUGUGAUAGUAAAAAAAUCGGUGGCCGGCGAUAUGAUC